rnacentral:lncRNA from 1 species
GUUUUUGCAUUUAGAGACUAAUUUGUACAAAAAAAAUAAAGGUUCUAUACUCAUUAAACAAAGUGCCAAAUUCAGAGAUACUACUUCCUUUGGAUAAUUUGUAUCGUCACCAACGAUCUUUGAGUUAUUUCAAAAAUCACAUUCUCAAUUUUGUGGUCCAACAUUCACAAAAUGGUUUGUCGGGCUUUAAGUCUAGUAAUUGUGAAACAUGCAUAUGCAUGAGGUAAUUAAUUGAUAAUCUGAAAAGGUUAAAUAGUUAAUCAACUGUACUUUGGUUAUUUUUAAUUUGUUCUCUAUAAUUUUUCAGUCAAAAUUGAAUUUGCUUUAACCAUUUAGUGUAGUAGUAUGAUAUUACUUGCUCUACAUUCUUGGAUCUAAAAGUCUAAUUAGUAUCGUAUAAAAAAAAUUCUAGUUAAUUAAGAUACUUUUCUUCAUUCUAAUUAUUCUUGGAUUACUUGUGAAACUUUUAGGGAUGAACAAGAAAGUCCACUAAAGAGGCUUCUUUUUGCUAGGAGUCACUAGU